rnacentral:rRNA from 1 species
CCCUUGAGGCGUGGCUUCCGGAGCUAACGCGUUAAAUCGACCGCCUGGGGAGUACGGCCGCAAGGUUAAAACUCAAAUGAAUUGACGGGGGCCCGCACAAGCGGUGGAGCAUGUGGUUUAAUUCGAUGCAACGCGAAGAACCUUACCUGGUCUUGACAUCCACAGAACUUUCCAGAGAUGGAUUGGUGCCUUCGGGAACUGUGAGACAGGUGCUGCAUGGCUGUCGUCAGCUCGUGUUGUGAAAUGUUGGGUUAAGUCCCGCAACGAGCGCAACCCUUAUCCUUUGUUGCCAGCGGUCCGGCCGGGAACUCAAAGGAGACUGCCAGUGAUAAACUGGAGGAAGGUGGGGAUGACGUCAAGUCAUCAUGGCCCUUACGACCAGGGCUACACACGUGCUACAAUGGCAUAUACAAAGAGAAGCGACCUCGCGAGAGCAAGCGGACCUCAUAAAGUAUGUCGUAGUCCGGAUUGGAGUCUGCAACUCGACUCCAUGAAGUCGGAAUCGCUAGUAAUCGUAGAUCAGAAUGCUACGGUGAAUACGUUCCCGGGCCUUGUACACACCGCCCGUCACACCAUGGGAGUGGGUUGCAAAAGAAGUAGGUAGCUUAACCUUCGGGAGGGCGCUUACCACUUUGUGAUUCAUGACUGGGGUGAAGUCGUAACAAGGUAACCGUAGGGGAACCUGCGGUUGGAUCACCUCCUUACCUUAAAGAA